UAAAGUUGAUGAUGACUUGUCCAUAAUGGAUCUUCACAAAAUUCCAUCAGCAUUCAACUGCCACUAAGUUCCAAUUUCUUUGGUUUCAUUUUCUACUUGGCUCCUGAUGAUGAUGACCAGAAUGCAAAUCUGGAAGUUAAGUUCUUUGCUCGGCUACCAAAUAAGGAGGAAGUGGUGAUAAAAGAGUGUGGCAUCCGUUGGAUAUACACAAACAUGGAGAAGGAAUCAAGAGGAGAAACAGGGGUGUUUUUGAGUUAGAAGCCAUUGCAUCUCCAAAUGAAGAAAAGGGGUUCGAAUCUGAUGAUGAAGGGGAAGAACUAGUUCCUCCAGCAAAGAAAUUUAAGCAUAGCUUAAUGGAAGUUGAAUCAGUAGAAAACUUGAGAUAAGGUUCAAGCAAACUCAGAUCAGGCUAUGGUUUGGAAUCAGCUCAAAGCAGGAUCCUUCCAGUUCAAUGAAGACUGACAGGGAUAUGAAGUUUCUGUAUUUCAUUUAUUUUUGUAUUCAUAAUGUGUUAUACCUGAUAUAAAAAUUUAGGCAAUAUUCUUUGUGUGAGUUGUUAUACUGGUUACAUGCUUUAUUAUUUUUUCACUACUUGCUAAAGUUUCAAGUCUUUUUUCUUAUGUUGAUACCACCCUCCUCCUCCCUUAUGUGAUGUGAUGAGAGAAUAAAGAUUAAUGUACCUCCAGAUA